rnacentral:rRNA from 1 species
UACGGAGGGUGCAAGCGUUAUCCGGAUUCACUGGGUUUAAAGGGUGCGUAGGUGGCCAGGUAAGUUCGGUGUGAAAGCUCGGAGCUUAACUCCGAAAUGUCAUUGAAUACUAUCUGGCUUGAGGGUCGGAGGGGAGACUGGAAUUCUCGGUGUAGCAGUGAAAUGCGUAGAUAUCGAGAGGAACACCAGUGGCGAAGGCGAGUCUCUGGACGACUCCUGACACUGAGGCACGAAAGCUAGGGGAGCAAACAGG